GUUUAGCCCUGAUCGCUCAAUUGCCUUUCCUUUUUUUCUUUAGAAAAGGAAAGAUUUAGUGUAGAGCAGGAUCAACG
rnacentral:sRNA from 1 species